CGGAACUUAAUGAAGAAAAUACUUUAAAAAUGCAUGUUAAUAGGCAAAAAAUGAUGACUGAAUAUUGAAUAUUUCUAUAAAAUUCUGUAAAUUGGUACAUAAUUUAUGCAUUUGAAUGGAAUGUUGCCCGGUG
ensembl:ncRNA DH11.7 ncRNA